UACAGAGGUCUCAAGCGUUGUUCGGAUUCAUUGGGCGUAAAGGGUGCGUAGGCGGUAGAGUAAGUCUGGUGUGAAAUCCUGGAGCUUAACUUCAGAAAUGCACUGGAUACUGCUUUGCUAGAGGACUGGAGAGGAGAUUGGAAUUCACGGUGUAGCAGUGAAAUGCGUAGAGAUGUGGAGGAAUACCGAUGGCGAAGGCAGCCUCCUGGGCCAACACUGACGCUCAUGCACGAAAGCGUGGGGAGCAAACAGG
rnacentral:rRNA from 1 species